GGGUGCACAUGAGUCUCCAGGUCCAAGUCCUACAAGACCCUUUGGGACAAGGGACAGAGGCUGGACCCUCCUCUCCUGGCCUGAGGAUGUGGACAGAGCUAAGGCUAGAUGGGAAGAACUCAGCAUGGAGGAGAAAGGUGGAGCCAUUAGAGAGGGGCACAGAAGAUGAGCAAACGGAGGCUCACAGAGGAUCACCGUGUAAAUGAAAUUGAAGGCAAUGCAAGGCGCUCGGCUUGAUGCCCUGUAUACACGCACACUGCAGUGAGUACCCACUCAACGCACCAGGCUUCCACACCAGCUAUCUGUGUUGAUGUGAACGGAAGGAGCAGGAGGGCAGAUGCUCAUCUGUUUUUAUCACUGCUGCAUCUUCAAGACAGAAGACACAUACCAGGUGCUCAAUUAACAUCUGCUGACACAGACAGAGCGAAUGAAUGAACCGGUGAACCUGCCCAACAGCCCCGAGGUGGGAAUUUAGCCCUUCUGACAGAAGCAGAAAGUGAAGUUCAGAAAGAGAAAGUAAGGACUUGCUCGAGCUGCCUCAGUUCCCCAUCACUAAAACGGAGGCCACAUCACUUGGUCCCAAGGGAAAAGGGGGUCUGGAUACCACGCUCGCCGAAACGGCCAAUACUCCCUCCACACUCAGGCUCCUGGGGGUGAGACAGGUACCAGAAUGCCCUGCCUGGUUUGCCUCCCGCCCAGGGCUGCUGGGAGAGGCAAGUGGAAUGAUGGGGGACCUGCUCUCCGAAGUGUGGCCAGAGAACUCUGCCUGGCCCUUUCCCAGGUGGACCUGACACGGUCUCUGCCUUCAAGGUCCCUCUGCACGGAGCUGGGGUUGUGCCUGAACGGGGCUGCCACCACCACGGCCCAAGCAAGAGCACCUUAUGAGUCUUGGAGACGCAGCCAGUGGAGCAGAGGGCAGAUGCUGCUCGGACAACCCAGAUUCCAGGCCGCCUUGGCCACUUAUCCUAGCUGGGCAGCCUCAGCUUCCUCCCCCGUAAAAAAAAAAAGGAUAAUCAAUCCAA